rnacentral:rRNA from 1 species
CAGUCGCCGCGGUAAUACGAAGGGGGCUAGCGUUGCUCGGAAUUACUGGGCGUAAAGGGAGCGUAGGCGGAUCGUUAAGUUGGGGGUGAAAGCCCGGGGCUCAACCUCGGAAUUGCCUUCAAUACUGGCGAUCUUGAGUAUGGAAGAGGUAUGUGGAACUCCGAGUGUAGAGGUGAAAUUCGUAGAUAUUCGGAAGAACACCAGUGGCGAAGGCGACAUACUGGUCCAUCACUGACGCUGAGGCUCGAAAGCGUGGGGAGCAAACAGGAUUAGAUACCCCAGUAGUCCCUGUCUCUUAUAC